GCAGACGAAAGAGACUGCGGGUAGGCAAUGCGGCACACAUCGAAGAAGCAGCUCAUACGGCUAACCUGACAUUUUCACGCAGACCUCCGGCUGACUACACGUGUGUGAGGUGCGACUGCGUCAAGCGAGGCUGAGUUCCUGGAUUGAACCGCGGGAGGUUCUCAGCAGUCAAGAGACACUUGGAUGCUGCUGAUGCUGCUGAUGCCCUGCGGAUUGAACUUUGGCGGCAGGAUUAAGGCCCAUCCUUGUCAUCCCACAGGGCAGAGUGGUUUGAUUGACAGCUGGGUUCAGCAUCUUGACACAGGUCCGUGCCCCCGUCAUCAUCGCUGAUCGUCCCAUGCCGGCCUCUCAGAGUGACAGGUGCCUGCAGAGCCAUUUACUCCUCACGCAGCCGAAAAGAAAAAGUCGCCACGACUGCUCUCCUCCGCUUCCUGCACCUCUUCGUAACGUAUUUCCUUUUUAGCUUCCUGUAUUUCCCUUUUUUUUAGUAUUGUUUUUUUUCAUUUGGUUCUCCUUGACCUCAUCCUCUUUUCUCUCGUCUCUGAUCAACUCUCAAGUAUCUUCUGCAGGCAUCUUUUAAUCUAAAGGAAUCUGCCAGAUCUUAAUUAAGGUAAUUACUGUGUUUGUUUUAACUUAACACUCAUGACUCCACUCGAGCUACAAUCUUUGAGCGGGCUAUAACAGAUGGGGUGCUUAGUACUCCAUUGGGAUGCCUGACAGGAGUCAGCUGUAUGAUUUUUGAGCUUGAUGUUUUUUAGCUUAAUUUACCUCGCAAAACCGCUUAACAGGAAUUCCUCCCAAACCUUUCGCACAAAUGUUAAAAGGUGUCAUUAAUGUGUUAGGAGGGAAACCGAAACUGCUAUAUUUAUCAUGCGGAAUGGCUGGUUAGCUUUUAAUCACCACCACAAAAUGCGACAUUCCCUGAAGCUCUGUCACUAUGUGUUUUUUUUCGCAUGUACGUUUGGGCCUCAAGGGUUCUGGUUCAUCAACUCACAUUCAUCUCGUGACGAGCUGCUACACAACGUGUGGCGAUCCGCGAGCGACAAAACGCGUCUCUAUCUGUCUCGUUUGCUACUCAAAAGUUAGGAAACUCCAGGUUGUAAGCGUUUUAACAUGUAUCAUGUAACAUGUAACAUGUAUCAUGACCGAGAUACAUAUUGUGUGUGUGUGUGUGUGUGUGUGAGAGACCCAGAAGGACAGGAGGGCAUCAGAUGAGUACAGACUGUUUCCACCUGCCAGGUGCUUGGUCUCUAAUCCCCCCUCUCUGUCUGAUUAAACACACACACACACACACACACACACACACACACACACACACACACACACACACAUGCGUGUGCACGGGCACAACAAGGUCAUCUCUCUGUCAACCAUACAAUAGCGCUGUGUACCCAUCUGGCCUACAUCCUAAAUGCUUCCUCUUCAGUAAGCAAAUAAAAAAAAGGAGAAGACAGCAAACACUUGGAUCCAUAGCAACAGGUUACAAGUAAAUGACGAUUACAACAAUGGCGCUAUUUUACCACGUACUCCUUGUUCAUAAUGACAUGUCAUGUGCAGCCUGAUCUCCAAAACCUGUUCGUAAAA